AAAUGAAUAGACGGGGGCCCGCACAAGCAGUGGAGUAUGUGGUUUAAUUCGAAGCAACGCGAAGAACCUUACCAGGGCUUGACAUCCUCUGACAGCUUAAGAGAUUAAGCGUUCUCUUCGGAGACAGAGAGACAGGUGGUGCAUGGUUGUCGUCAGCUCGUGUCGUGAGAUGUUCGGUUAAGUCCGGCAACGAGCGCAACCCCUAUGGUCUGUUGCCAUCAUUCAGUUGGGCACUCAGGCAAGACUGCCGUUGACAAAACGGAGGAAGGUGGGGACGACGUCAAAUCAUCAUGCCCCUUAUGUCCUGGGCUACACACGUACUACAAUGGCUACAGCAGAGGGCAGCCACACCGCGAGGUGGAGCGAAUCCCUAAAUGUAGUCUCAGUUCGGAUUGCAGGCUGAAACCCGCCUGCAUGAAGUCGGAAUUGCUAGUAAUGGCAGGUCAGCAUACUGCCGUGAAUACGUUCCCGGGCCUUGUACACACCGCCCGU
rnacentral:rRNA from 1 species